UGAAAUAGUUGUAUAUGUACAAUUAAUCUAACACUGCACAUACAGAAAAAAAUAUAUAUAAAAAUAUCGGUUAAGAAUUACUUAUAAACAACUUUUUAGAUGAAACGAAGAAAAAAUAGAACAAGACAGUGGAGAUAAAUUAAGCAAAUAUAUUAACAUCCUGUAUUAUCGACAAUUGAUAAAAAGAUUAGUUGAUUCAUCAUGGAAUGAAAAUAAUAUGAAAGUGUCACAUCUAUAUAAAAUAUAUAGCAUAUGUAUAUCUUUACGUAAAUGUUCCUUUUCUCGUCAGCUAUGAAUAAUUCAUUUAAUAAUUUUUAUUUACAAUAUAUUAUACACACGUAGAUAAAUUAUGUGGAAAUUCAGGCUGAUUAAUUAUAAGGAAUAAUUUUAUAAUUUUAAAAAAUAUUUCAAAUUUAAAUAAAAAAAGUUAAUAUAACAUCAAUUAUAACAGUCGUUUCUUCUCCAUGCAUCUGUUCAUCGUACGACCAAUGCUGGAAGGGAAUAAGGGAGGAAUCGAUCACGGUUGGUGUCACCAAAAUCUUCGAGUAAUCGUCGAAUCUCGCCGUUAUCUUCAAAGUCGAAAACGUCGUGUCAGACGGGUUGACGGAAGUGCAAGAAUGGAGCGACUCGUUGGAGCAUUGGAUCACAGCACAUAGGCGGACACCAGCGUCCAAUAUCUUUUCGAACACGUGAAUACCAUCGUACACAACUGCAUGAUAAUAAGUGGACGGAUCGAUAGUAUCUGUACGAAUCAGAAAGUCGCAACAGAAGUUACCGUAACAGAUAGUUUUAUUCAUGGAAUCAUUAACCAGAAUAGAAUUAAACCAUGUAACAUGAUCGUGCUUUAACUUUAUCAAAUCGAUGUUCGAUGUAUGCAGAUUUCUUUUCGAGUAAAAUUGACUUGUAUCUUUGAUAUAUUUCUCUCGUGUUUCGAUUUUUUUAGGCGUUUUUGGUACUCGAGAGAUUAAAAGCCGCUCCUUCGGAUUUGUAGACAUGGUCACGUUGAUUAUUCCGUUGCGACCUAAUAAAAAUUUGAAAAAUUAAUGUAGAUAAUUUAACAACUUUAGAAAUUAAAAGAAAAUGAUUAUAAAUAUUAUAAUAUUGCUUUGAUUUUUGAAUUUUUCAAAUUUGGAGUUAAUAUAUAAAAAAUUGUUAUUCUAUGAUAUUAUUGAUUUAUUAAUAAAAGAGAUUAUUUUCUGUUAAAAGAAAAUUUUAUUCCACAAAAUAAUCCAAAAUCUAUAAUAAAUGUCGUUUGCUUUUAUAAAUUUCUAUGCUUAGUUUACAUUAUAUUAUGAAGAAAUUUCAUAUAUUAUAACAAUUCAAAAAAAUUGUUUUCUUCUUACUUCUUGCUUCAAAUGUUAAGUUUAUGAUCAAUUUUUGGACUUAUUUAUAAUCUAAUAAUAAAAAUCUUUAAAAGAAAUAAGUUUUACAAAAGCAACAUAAUAUUAAUAAGUAAAAUUAAAAGUUAAGAACAAAUAUUUAAGGCAAAAAUGAAAAAUAAGAUGUAUCAUAUCAAUACCUAAAUAAAUACCGCUUCCUAUGCUUCCGAA